GCACUUCAGCAAACCCAGUCCUUCCCUCUUAGUGCUGGUCAUGGGUUAAAAAGUGCUAGAGUAAAUCAGAGUCAGUCCAGACGAGCCUUUUCUCUAUUGAAGUUUGUCUCUACAGACUUUGAAACAUCC